UACGUAGGGUGCGAGCGUUGUUCGGAAUCACUGGGCGUAAAGGGCGCGUAGGCGGCCGAUCAAGUCGGGGGUGAAAGCCUGUGGCUCAACCACAGAAUUGCCUUCGAUACUGUUUGGCUUGAGACCGGAAGAGGUAAGUGGAACUGCGAGUGUAGAUGUGAAAUUCGUAGAUAUUCGCAAGAACACCAGUGGCGAAGGCGGCUUACUGGUCCGGUUCUGACGCUGAGGCGCGAAAGCCAGGGGAGCGAACGGG
rnacentral:rRNA from 1 species